UGAGGAAUGGUUCCUUGGGAUUUGGUGAGUUUGUUGUCAAAUGGUUCAAUGAAGCAUAAUUGAAGCCACUACUUGGAACUGAUUGGUUUACUUGCAAAUGAACCAGAAUUACAGCCUGGCGUGAGGUCAAUUAGCUUUUGAACCCAGGCCCAACUUGUGCCUUUACAAGCUUCCAUGACGGCAACAGAUGAUGUAUACUGUAAUACUUAUGCACAUAAGGAUUUUAGUAUAGAUUUACUUUGGCAAUUUACUUAUCUUCAACACUAAGGCUUGGACUGCGCUUUGCCUCCGCUGAGAGCAGCUUGUGUAGCCGAAGCAAUCUACUCUCGUGGCCCUCAUGAUCUACUGGUUUGGCCACUGAUCUACUGUUGUUGUGGUACAUCUCUUUUUGGGUAUUGGUUAUCUCAAAUUAAUUAUGCUUUUAAAGUGCUUGAUAAAUUGUCUCAAUUAAUUGUUUGAUUGCGGUUUAUUUAAUGAAUAUGAAGAAUAUGACUUUGCCAGGACAUGAAGAACUGCAAGAGAAAAGGUUGGGUUGAAUAUAUAUCUAUUGUGCAAGAUAUACUCUUUAACUCUUUUGUUCACGACUGAGGAAGAACGAUUUGAAGAUUCAACGAUUUUAAAAAACUCAUUCCACUUUUUAUGGUUAAAAAUGCUACAAUUUCUUCUGACUUCACACUUGUCUAGUUGUCCGAAUCAUCAGUUAUUUGUAAGCAUGGAUUAAAGUAUAUGAAAUAUUCAUUGUGUUCUAGCUUUAAAUUUUGUUAUGCUUUUAGAAACUUUUCAGGUAGAACUUUCUGAAGGUUGUCUGGAACAGUUCACACAUGAGAUCCAGCCCUUUCUGAGAAAGCAAAGUGAUGCUUUUUCGGUUUAACAAAGGCAUCUGGUAUGGUUUAUGAAUCUCCCAACUCUCUUGAAGAUUCCAAAUAUUGAAUCUGCUUACGUAGAUUUCAAUCACUUUCUACUAGUAUUGCCCC